rnacentral:lncRNA from 1 species
CUUGGAUUUUAUGUAUAAGUGCAACGAAACGACUCUGGAGGAAUAAAUAGCGUGCAAAUGCGAAAACGUAUAAAUGUAAAACGUGCGAGUAGGAUGAUUUUACAUGCAAAAUCGAAAGAAUGUACAAAACACAACGUACAAAUGAGAAAAACGCACUUGUAUAAACGGGGUUCUACUAUACAGUAUAUUGAGAAAAAUUGGGGGUACUGUAGUACCACAGUGUCUAUGCACGAGCCGCCCCUGGAUCUGAUUUUUAUAUAAUAUUCUGUUAUCAACUGUUUCUUUUUUUGCCUUUUGUAUCUUUUAAAUUUUCACAUCUCUAAUCUUGAAGAGGUCAUUAAUAAUUCUUAGAAUUUCAGUUUGUUUUUACUGCUUCUGCUGUUUUGUGUAUGUCGAAAUGGAUGAAAUGAACUCUAUAAUGAAAUACUGCAC